AGGUUGGUUGGGGGGGUGGAUGGGUCAAACAACACAGGACUUUCACCCAGGGGACCGGGGUUUGUGUCUCGUUUAAAAAAUGUAAAUA